GCGCGCCAAUGACUCGUCCAGGUAUCCCAUUAUGUCUGGGAAAGAGGGCCGUAGCGUGGGGUCCAUCUGGAAGAAAUUUGCCAGUAAAUCCCUGAAAUGAUCUCCUUUCGUCUUUUCGUGACAAAUCUAUAAAGACAAGCAGACGGCGUGGAGACGGACUUACAUUGCAGCAGUUGAACGCCAGCUGAAGGAAGUCGGGCGGACAGUCGCCAACCAUGUGCUGGAAGGUGUGAUAGUCCAGGCCGAAGUUCUGCUCAAUUACACAAAGAAAGUGUGUGAAAUUGUUUCAUUCAUUUCUAGACAUAAAACAAUAAAUAAACAUUUUGGAUGAAAAAUA